UAUGUGUAUAUGUGUGUGUGUGUGUGUGUGUGUGUGUGUGUGUAUACAUACAUAUAUAUGCACACACACACACACACACACACACACAUAU
ensembl:miRNA Gm44377 predicted gene, 44377